AUUGAACGCUGGCGGCAUGCCUUACACAUGCAAGUCGAACGGCAGCACGGGUGCUUGCACCUGGUGGCGAGUGGCGCACGGGUGAGUAAUACAUCGGAACAUGUCCUGUAGUGGGGGAUAGCCCGGCGAAAGCCGGAUUACUACCGCCUACGAUCUACGGAUGAAAGCGGGGGACCUUCGGGCCUCGCGCUAUACGGUUGGCCGAUGGCUGAUUAGCUAGUUGGUGGGGUAAAGGCCUACCAAGGCGACGAUCAGUAGCUGGUCUGAGAGGACGACCAGCCACACUGGGACUGAGACACGGCCCAGACUCCUACGGGAGGCAGCAGUGGGGAAUUUUGGACAAUGGGCGAAAGCCUGAUCCAGCAAUGCCGCGUGUGUGAAGAAGGCCUUCGGGUUGUAAAGCACUUUUGUCCGGAAAGAAAUCCUUGGCCCUAAUACGGUCGGGGGAUGACGGUACCGGAAGAAUAAGCACCGGCUAACUACGUG
rnacentral:rRNA from 1 species